AGGAUUAUAGUUUAAAUAUAAAACUUUUGAUUUGCAUUCAAAUAAUAUUGAAAUAAAUUUCAAUUUAUCUUA
rnacentral:tRNA from 1 species